UACAUGCAGAUCAACCUAUGAGUCAAAGCUAGCGAGAACAAUUUGGUGAGGGUCGUCGUAAUUGAAACAAUUGGAAAAUUACUCUGGAUCAUGUUAAGAUUAACUUUAUAAUCAUUUCAGAAACAACAUAUCAGUUGACAGGUUUAAACUGUAUCAAUCUCAAAAUUUAAUUGGGCCCUCACUGAAACAAAAGAAUACCCGUUUCAUGCAACCUGGGUUUGAUCAUCCAUUUUAAUCUAAAAUUUACUAUCCACAUUGUCAGGUGACCCCCUAAAUCAAGAUCAAUUUAAUUGCAUCCUUGGGCAUUGUAGACCUCACAGUCCAAUGAUUGCUUCUAUUUUACUGAUGUGCGAUGACUUACGGAUAGAUGGAAGUAAAUUAUUUUAGUGAUACAUCCCUUCAGGGUUGGGUGACCUGCUAGAGCUCGAGGCAAUGUAAGUUCAGAAUAGUGGUUUUAGAUUUCAACUUCGCAUUUUCCGAUGUAUCAUUGUCGGUUACAGACUUAUGCAAGACACAGGAGACAUUUACCAUUUUAACAAUAGACAAAAGCUAAAUGGCUAUCUUUAAAAAAAAUGCUAUUGUGUUACAGACUUUACUUCCUGUGGUUAAGUAAUUUACAUAGCGAUUGCUAUUCCUCAAUCUUUUCCUCCAGGGGCUCAUCCAGUGAUAAAUUGAUCGGUUCAGUUCCACAUUCCCUUGAUAACCUUUCCAGACUUACAUCGUUGUAAGUAUUUUUUUCCCUGUAUGAUGAUACAUGCUUCUAAAAGCAUUUAUAUUUGUUUUCCCAAAGGAAAUGAUUAUGUAUAUACUAUUUUUAUUAUACAGAGCCAUGUAGCUUCUGAUUAUUCAUGGUUAGCCACUGGCUAAGUUGCUCUAAUUUGGGAUGAAAUCAGCAUUGCAGUAUUUAAAUUCUUCAAAUUUUAGGCUAGAGUUAAAAGGUAUCCGCCUAAAUUGUUUACUCGAAGGGCAUGAUUAUAUAUGUUAGUCAUUCUCCCCUCACCCUGAAUUCAUCCAUGGAUCGAAUGCAAUUUAUCAUUGUUCAUUAUCAUGUGACUUCUAUGUGAAUCUGCAACUUAUUACUUACCACCAUGAUUUGUUUUGUGCAUUUCAGCCGAGAGCCAUAUUUACUGCCAUUAAUAGCCUUAUAGCCAUUACAUAUGUUUCAUUUAUAAAUAAUUAUUUGCUAUGCCAUUGUAAAACAAUAUAAAGUAGUCCCUCUGUUUUAGUCUAAAUUAACUGUCUUCAUACGAAAGAUAAGUUUUUAGGAUCUUUAAAUUGACUACCAAAACCAGGAAUCAAGCUUUCUAUAGCUACCAGAUGUAACUUUCUGAAGCUUUUGGUUUAAGUUUUUUUAGUACUCACCACAGUUUAGUUCAAGAUACUAGCAAAUAAGAUUUAUCAACUAGAUUUAGCAAAUAUGAUUUACCUUUUCCAUAUAUGUUGACAGCUGGGUAUCGGUAGGAUUAUUGUUUCCUCAGCUGAUAUGAUAUGUUCAUAUAAUAGCUGAAUAGUCAUUUCUCAAAAGAAGGUAACAUGUUUCAAGAUUAUCAUUUCAUUGACAUACACCUCUUUCGAAAAUCAUAAGUUAGAACAGUUUUUGUCACUCUAUAUCUAUGUUUUGCACUACAUUGACACCGCAACCACAACCUUUCAUAUAUUUCUAUGAUAUCCCCCCCACAUCCCGCUCCUGAGUUGUCCCUGUGCCCUCCUGUCCUCCGAGCGGAUCCAUAAGGUUUUCACAGAGACACACUAUCCCAACCUUAAACAAUUAUACUAAACAAUUAUUUGCAGCCCUGAUCUUUUGCACCCUGUGAAAUUCUACUAAACAAUUAUUUGCAGCCCUGCAGGUAAACUAUGUCUUCAUGCAUUCAGUUAUCUUAUCCCUCAUGCCAUCGUUUGGAUGCUGUGGUGGCGGCAUGCCUGUAGUUCAGCCGAUUUCUUUGCUGUGAUGCACCCAGACUUGAGAUUGAUUUCUUUCCCCUCUAGAAAUACAUGUGUUACUUUGAUUAAUUUUCUAAGAGCGUAGAAUUUUGGAAGUUUUUUUUUUUUGAACGCAAUGGCAGGAGCUCUGCCUUUCAAUUAAGAAGGAAAGAAGUCAGAAGUACACAUGGGCCGGUGGCAAGCCAACCAAGGCCCGGACACUCAGGAACACAAACAGGGGUCAAAGUCCCGACUCAAGCCCGAUUAGCGGAACACACUCCUAUAUAGGCACAGGCUCUCCCUAACUCUUCCAGCAACUUGGAGCGGAGUAAGCGAGCUGUGCUCAAAGAUUCUACGGUUGCGCUCCUUCCAGAUGUUCCACAAGGUGUAAAUAACGACGCCAUUGUACAUCCUCCUACGAUCUUUUGGGAAGAGGGCCUCUGUUUCCCCCCACCACUCCUCUAUGCUAGAGAAGCUCGUCGGGUCGAUCUGCUGUGGUAAUGUCAGGUUUUCCCAAGCAAGGACCUGAAUCCAAACUUCUUGAGCGAAAGGGCAGCUCAAGCACAUGUGAAGCCCUGACUCCAUGGGCCCAUUGCAGAGGGAGCACGAAGGCUGAUGCGGCCAACCAUGUCGCGCCAGAUUAUCAGCCGUGAGGAGUUUGUUUUGAAUGAGCACCCAAGCAAAUAAUUUGCAUUUAUUUUCUGCCUUAGCACUCCAGAUGAGGCUGGUCUUGUUGCCCCUGUAGGAUCCCAGAAACUGGGCUCUGUAAGCUGAACUGGAGGUGUAGGUGCCAUCCGUAGUCCAUUUCCAGGAAAUGGAGUCUUCAGUUUCCGGCUAUAGAUGUACCUGUUGGAGCCUGAUCCAGAGCGAGACAAAUUCCUCAAUUUGCACGGUCGUCGUAAUUUCCCCCCUCAGGGAUUUGAUCCAGGUGUUGUUAGUCAGCUCAUGUGCCACUGAAUUGUUCUUCCUUCUGACUAGAUCAAAAAGGUGCGGGGCUAGGUUGCACGGAGCUUCACCAUCUAGCCAACUGUGGUGCCAAAACUUAGCCUUGGUGCCAUUGCCAAUAGAUACAGAGGUGGAAGCCUGGAAUAACAAGCGAUCUAUGUCGUUACACGGUACUUGGAGCCCCACCCAAGGUUUUGAGCCAUCUGUCCAUUCCUGCCAUAGCCAGCGGAGCCUGAGUGCGCGGCUAAACUUAUCGAGGUCGAGCACGCCUAGGCCACCCAAGUUCUUUGGCCUACUGACUUUAGAUGUUGUAACCAAUCAUAUAACAUUCUUCCUUUCUCUACUUUGACAUUACUUAGUAGUAGAUGUUUUUGGUUUGCGCCAUGGAGAAAAUAUUUAAGUGGCCCAUCCAUCUUUUACACUGUGUUUGCUGUAAUGUGAAUUAUAUAUCCACUUGCUUCUUCCUGAGAUUGCAAUGCUCUAUACUCAUUGGUGUUAUAAUAUCCCAAGGGCGCGCCAUGUAUACUGUAUACACCAGAGACCAAGGAUGGAUGAGUAUUCAAUUAGCUGAAAAAGUUUUGGUCUUGAUGGCGGGUUCCAGUUCUUCAAUUUGGAUCAGGCUGCACAAACACUAUUGUGAGAGAGUGGACUGAGUCUGAACUCUUGAUCAAGGUCAUUCAAGUAAUUGAUUUCUUCUGUUCCAGAAUGUAUAUGCGCCUUCAUUAUUUCAAUAUUAAAUAGUCAAAAUCAUGGUGGAGGAAUCUGCAGAGGCGCAUUCUCAAUGCCGAUUGCCUCCACAGAUUGGCGCUUAGCAUGGCCUAGCUCCAGAAAACAAGUAUGGCAGAGAGGAUGCUCAAGAAUGUUUUAUAAAGGCAGCAAUUGUGGCUCCCUCACAUCCGAAGAGGUCAAGUAUGCAAAGGCUCAAGACCCCUGCCUCGCUCCCCGCCGCCACGCCACCAAUCGCGGUGCCGCCCUUCCUGCCCGCGCCGCUCCUGUCCGCCAAAGGAACCUGAAUAUCAGCGCCUUCCUUGUAGGUGUUGCAACCUCCAUCUCCGGCCCUGAUCUGCAGCCUUCUCAGUAGCUUAUGCAGUACUUGCUAUAUCAGAUGUUCAAAGUUAACCAUCAUGGAAUGAUAGUGACUUGCACACUCUGCAACAUAUCAGGUGCAACCACUUAGUUCUGUGGUUUGAGUUUACAACGCAAAGUGAUCAGCAAAUAUAUUGUACUGAUGGAUUUUAAGUAGACCGUAGUAUCACUCUGACAACAGGAAGUGUAACUAGCUUGCCGUGUACCAAUAAUUAGCAUAGAAAUUAUGUAUUCCUGAAUAAAUGGAGUAUAUAGUAUCGUCAUAAAUUGAUCUGGUUGUAAACUGUUUCAAGUUGCAUUUCCUACCAUGGUCAAUUCAAAAAUUGACUUUGUGCCAA